GUUGUUGCGGUUAAAAGCUCGUAGUUGGAUUUCUGUUGAGGUCGGGCGGUGUGCACCUCGUGCAUUAUUUGCUUCGGUCUCGGCAUCCUCUUGGGGAACGUCUCAGGACUUUAUUGGACUGGGCGAGAUUCAAGACUUUUACUUUGAGGAAAUUAGAGUGUUCACGGCAGGCAAGUGCUUUGAAUACAUUAGCAUGGAAUAAUAAUAUAGGACCUUCGUUCUAUUUUGUUGGUUUCUAGAACUUAGGUAAUGAUUAAUAGGGACAAUUGGGGGCAUUCGUAUUAACGCGUCAGAGGUGGAAUUCUUUUAUUGCGUUACGACGAACUACUGCGAAAGCAUUUGCCAAAUAUGUUUUCAUUGAUCAAGAAC
rnacentral:rRNA from 1 species